UUAAGUGAUAACCCCCCAAGCAGAGGAAAUUAUAAAAAUAUCAAAAGAAAACAACAAUUAUAGAAACCUUUUUCAUUGAUUUGGAUCGUUAGUGCGUGUAAUUUACUCGAUUUAAAAUCAUGGCUA